GCCACCACCCACAAGCCCCACCCCCACGAGCAUGGUGCUCCGGCGGCGGACCCAGGCGUCCCCGGUCAAAACGCGCCUCCAAUUUCCCGGCAGGCGCUGGAUCCCGAGCGGUCGCGGCCCCCCUGUCGCCCCACUCCUCCUUCCGAUGCCCCACAUCCCCAGCCUUGCUUCAACGCCGCCGGCAAGCACGGCCGCCUCCAUUCGACCCACGCUCCAGGCAUCCCCUCCUCCUUCCGCCACCACCGCCCGCAAUCACCUUCCACCGCGAAGCGCCGCUGCCUUCCAGCGCCCCCCCUGCGUCAGAUCUGUGAGGCCCCCGGCUGCCCCAGGGCGCCACCAACACGGAUCCGGUGGGAUCCACCACCAUCUCUUCUCCGGCGGGCAGCGCGGCAUCAGCCCGACGCUCAUCAAAUGGUGAGCUCCACGACGCGCUACCGCCCGGUCUUCUCCAUGGCGUGGGAUCCCCAUCCCCCCGGCGAGCUGUCCUACUUUCCCUCCCCUCCGGCAAGAUCUCCUGCAUGCAGUUCGGGCUUCCACCGCGUGCAGCUCGGCCGCCAGAGUUGAAGUGCGUCGGGUCGCGCGAUGCGGUUCGGCGGUGCAUGGCCGUGCAUUUCGCGACGACCACGGCCCCCCUCACUCUACCUCAAUAGCCGCGUCCUCAACCAGCGGUGCCCUCCCCUCGUCGUCGGCCACGGCGCCGCAGCCACCGGGCUCGAGCAUCCUGUCAUCCCCAUCGAUUGUUUUUUUUUGCCUUUUCAGAUUCCACUUGGGCACAUCGCUGCUAUUCUGUUGGGGCGUCAGUACGGUGCGGCUGGAUGUCGCGAUCGUGCUUGCAGUCCGGUGGCACAAGGCUCGUGGUCGGAUGUGCAAUGCAGUGCAGUGCUAUUCACCCUUCCGCAAUGCAGUUCGCCGGCAGAUGUGUUGACCCAUCGAAGAUCAACUGCACCCCCUCCCCCGACGGUGCCAUGCAGUCCAGUACGUGGGUGCACGCAGCACGCCCCACCGGUGCCGUGCAGUCCAAAGUGUGGGUGCAAGCAGCACACCACCCAUUCCCAAGCCCAUCUCUCUCCCUCCCCGCACACGCGCCAAGUGCUCUCUAUUUCUCACAAGUCGCUACAAUGGCGGACCAGAAGCUCGCCAAGCUGCGCGAGGCCGUCGCCUGACUCGGCCAGAUCAGCAACAAGGAGAAGUCCGGAUUCAUCAGCCUUGUCUCCCGCUACCUCAUGUAAUUUCUUUGUGCGCAUCAGAGAUGGUUCUGCUCCCGUUCAUCAUCCAUGGUGUAGAUGUUGUUAGUGCAAUCUCGCGACGGGUGGGUUAUCUUCAUCCUCUCCAGUGAGUUCUACAACGAGCAGCUGCUAUCGCUCAAUAUCCUCCCCCACAAAGUAGUGCGGCAGGGCGGCGCUUGCAGUGUGACACUCCCGGACGAGCAGCGAACCCACUGAACCUAUCGAGUAGAUGAGACGAUGAAUCCCUGCAGAAAAUGGAAGGUCCCAUCCAUCAGUUCUUGCAUAUUUUUCAUACAUGCGAGGUUCAGAUGGCCCUGGAGUGCAGCUCGGAUGGGCUGUGCGAUGGCCAUGGUGUGCUUUUUUUUUCUGUUGUCCCUGGUUGUGUUGUUUUGAUUGGAGGAAAUUUUAUGUGUUUUGCACUGCUCUGAACGUGCAUUCUUUCAUGGACAGAAUUGCAGUACAGUGCAUAGUACGAAGGAGUUAACUUUGUAAAAAAAUGUACAGAGGAGUUCACUUUCUAUUAUUUUUGGAGGAUUUA